AACUGAUAUAAAAAUAUUAUAUUAUAAAACUGAGGGUGGGGGCCAGGUAAAUGACCUUGGAGGGGCCGCAUUCGGGCCCCGGGCCUUAGUUUGGGGACCCCUGAUCUAUAGUAUCACUUUAAGACUUAAAGCAAUGCAAUCAUGGGAGACUUGAUUAAAUUAACAACAUGCUUUCUCCCAUGAGUAGAACCCACACCUUUUUCAAUAGGCAGAAGCUGUGUGCUUGUUGACAGCUGCAUCACUGGCAAAAGUCAAUUGGGAAAGUUUUCCAAAAUUUCACCAUUGCAUCCCCUUAUGUGGUUAUCAAAUGACUACAACUUCUAUUCUUCUAAAAUAUGCAAGCAAAAAGUUACUGCAUCCCUACUGUCUUCCUGUACUAGCUAAUGCUAUGCAUACAGGUGUCAGUAUGUUGCUAUUUGGGAUCUUAAGUCCAUAGCAUAGCUUUGCUCGUGGGGGUUUCUCCCACAGGCUGAGAAGGAUUGUUUCAGGAGCCCCACAUGUGUCUUGGAGGGGCAGCCAAUGAGAGGGACACAGGCAAGCCCCCGCCCCACCCCAAUAAAAGAGCUCAGCAACUGGGCUGGUUGUUACUAGUCUAUCUGGAUGCUGUUGUGUAAAAACAGGGAUAACUGAUUGCGUUAAGAAGAAACAUGGCCAAUCCACCAAGGACCCCUGCCAAGACCCCACGCCGCCGUGUUUCCUUGACCUCAAAGGAUGAGACACCGUCCCAGUUUUCUCGUGGCUGCCCCCUUCCCGAUGUCUGCUCCACAAGAGUCUCCCAGAUUCGCAAACAGGGCUGGAAAGCUCCCACUCCUGCUUGGGGUGGAGUUGCUGGAACAGAUGAGCCAUUCUUUUGUGGCCCGGGCAGUUGCUCGUGUGCUUAGUGAGGGGCAUGUCUUAUUCCAUCGAGUGCUGGCCGUGGUGACCUCUGGAAGUCCUCCCAUGAUGCAGGCUUUUGCUACUAAUGGGAUUUUGGGUGCUGUCUUAUCAGCUGCCCUCCAUGUCCCCUGCUUGUUACAUCAGCUGGAGCUGAUGAUGGAGCUGUGGCCAGACAGGCUGGAAAGACUGGGCAUGCUGCUGCACCUUCUGGAGGACACGUUUGGGCGGCGUCCUGCCCUCCGUCACCGCUAUGAACUGUUCCUACAAGAGCGGCAGUUGAGCCUCUCCUUGCCCAUACUCAGCACGGAGAUGGGCCCAGAGGCCUGGUUGAAAAAAGCCACCAGCAUUGCAGAACAUCUCCCUCUUCUGCCAGAGUUUGUGGCCACUGAUGAAGAAGAAGGUCCCCUGAUGAUGAAGCUGAAGGCCUUCCUAGGAGAGAGUAAUGAGGAGUUAGUGGCAGAAGCAACUUUUGUAGCAGAACAUGCAUCCAGUUUGUUGAAUAUGGCCCAUUUUCUCCGCCAGAUGGGUGAGCCGUUGGCCCAUCGAGUCUACGGAGAACUGGACUCCUUACGCGUUUCUUUCUCUUACCACUUAGACACAAGAUUGGGGCCUAACACAGAAAGACAAUUAGCUCUUUGCCAACCCCCACUGAUGGAUCGGUUUCGUGGGAUCCUGGCUCGUAGUCUGGCCAGGCUAGAGCACUUGUUUGACUCGCAUCCUGCUAUGUCUGCCCUGAGAGCAGUCCGAGUGCUAGAUCCCAAGCAGCUAGGGGCUGUGGGCCGGAGUGGAUUGGAGCACGAACAGGGGAUCCCUGGGCUGGCAGAGGUGCCAGAGAUUGAAUGGUUCCGGUACCAACACUUGGCAGAAGCAGCUCCGGCCAAUGUCUCUCUGCCCCAGUGGUGGGAAGUACAUGCAGAGCAGCUUCCCACACUGUCUCCACUGGCUCGGCGAUACCUCUGGCUGCCUGUCUGUUCUCCCAAGUCCCCCUUUGGCCCAGGAGAAGUGCUCAAGCUAAGAGGUGCUGAGGAGAGUUUGACCGGAGAGGCUGCCCGCCUCCUCUGUAUGCUCAAGUAUAAUCGUAACCGCCUGCUCUCUCGUGCCUGA
rnacentral:lncRNA from 1 species